rnacentral:rRNA from 1 species
AAAUUGAAGAGUUUGAUCAUGGCUCAGAUUGAACGCUGGCGGCAGGCCUAACACAUGCAAGUCGAACGGUAACAGGAAACAGCUUGCUGUUUCGCUGACGAGUGGCGGACGGGUGAGUAAUGUCUGGGAAACUGCCUGAUGGAGGGGGAUAACUACUGGAAACGGUAGCUAAUACCGCAUAACGUCGCAAGACCAAAGAGGGGGACCUUCGGGCCUCUUGCCAUCGGAUGUGCCCAGAUGGGAUUAGCUUGUUGGUGGGGUAAUGGCUCACC